AUUGAACGCUGGCGGCAGGCCUAACACAUGCAAGUCGAGCGCGCGGCGGACGGGUGAGUAAUGUAUGGGGACUGCCCGAUAGAGGGGUAUAUCCACUGGAAACUGUCUCUAAUCCCGCAUACUCUCGUAUCCCCCAUAUGGGAUUCGCUAGUAGGUGGGGUAAAGGCUCACCUAGGCGACGAUCUCUAGCUGGUCUGAGAGGAUGAUCAGCCACACUGGGACGGAGACACGGCCCAGACUCCUACGGAGGCAGCAGGGGGGAAUAUUGCACAAUGGGCGCAAGCCUGAUGCAGCCAUGCCGCGUGUAUGAAGAAGGCCUUAGGGUUGUAAAGUACUUUCAGCGGGGAGGCGUUACCCGCAGAAGAAGCACCGGCUAACUCCGUGCCAGCAGCCGCGGUAAUAC
rnacentral:rRNA from 1 species